UGAAAAAAACGAAUCUUCAGAGUCCAUGGGAGUCUGCCUGCUUCAGAUCUAGCAAAAUAAAAUAAAAAGCUCAAGAGCUUUGAGGAAUUAUUGAUAGCAUCAAGAAGGAAAGCUGAAGGUAACAGAAGGUUCAGCCCAUUAUAAGGAUGUAUAACAACAGUGACAGUGCUCAUGGAAAUGUUAAUUAUCUGGAUUGUAAUGACUGCCAUAAAGAUACUCCAGCACAUGGGAAAGUUUACUUAUGUGAAUAAUCCUGUUGAUUUGGAUCAGACUUCUCAUGUGAGUAAAGUUAUGUGUUAAUAGAAGACUUUGUAGGAUCAGAAGCUCUUUAUAGAAACCUUGUCCUCAUAGUCUUUUGCAAAGACUCAUGAGUUCCAGCGGUGUUUAUUUAAAUACAAAUAAAUAAACCAGGGAACCAAGGGAUACUAAUUGG
rnacentral:lncRNA from 1 species